rnacentral:tRNA from 1 species
GAUAGCUCAGUCGGUAGAGCAAUCGGCUGUUAACCGAUCGGUCGUAGGUUCGAGUCCGGCGGUAUCCCGGGUUCGAUUCCCGGACGGGUCACCA